AACCAGUCGGAGUUGCUGAAGGUGGUGCCAUAGGCUGUAUAUAAAGGAGCUUGAUUUCUCGCACGGGCUCCCAUUUUGUUCUGGCUUGCAAGGUGGGAGUGCGGUGGUGAGUCCUUCGGUCUGCAGGAACUUAGCGGCUUCUUCUACAAAGCAUGGAAAGCCAGUAGCUGACAGUGGAAGUAUUGGCUGGACUGGAUUGGAGCAAACAGACUUGAGGAGAGGCGCGGGCGUGAUAGAGCCGCUCAGGUGCUUUUGUUUCAGAUCAGAGUCUCCGGUCUAUACAGCAAUCAAACAGUACGACUUGAUUGGUAAGCUGUCCUGGAUUUUGGUAUUUCCCUCAGAUUGCUCUUUGAU
ensembl:lincRNA